rnacentral:lncRNA from 1 species
GGGCUUUUGUUUUCUCUUCCGUUCUUGGCCUCUCUCUUCCGUGGCAGUUUUCCCUCGUCGAUCUCCAUCUCUCCUCCUUCUCUCCUCCCUUCGCCCAUCCAUUCUCGGAGACCGCCACCGAUCUUUCGAUUGGCGGUGGUUCGACAGCCUCGGUGUUUCUCGUAUCUAUUAAUCCUUGCAGGCGCCGGCGGCGAUUUUAGAGGCGGACGUCGUGGAUCGGCUCUCCGAUCUCGGAUCCAAGAGGAUGAGAUCCGAUCGUGGCCUUUUUAUAUCGAUCCGAUCCAAAAAAAUUCCCGAUCUGAAGCCUCGGCUCGUGGGUUUCUUGCCUUACCCCUUUAUAGGAGAAUCCUUUUAUUUUGAUGUUUAGAAGGAGAAAGAUUAUUAGUUUCUCUUGAUCUAUCUGUCGAUUAAUUGGAGAUGUUGGAGAGGAGCGGCAUAAUCCUUAAGUGUUUUUGUUGUUCUUGUUACCGACCUUUGCUAUGUUGGGUGCGCUCGCAUGGCAGGUCACAGAAACCCUAAUGAAAGCUCCAUUUUUUGGUGUUUUAUGGGGGAGAUCGUACGGGGAAUUAAUUUUGCCCUGGGGUCUCCCCUUCGUGUUUCUACGCUCUUGAUUUUUUUUUCUUUUGUUUUUCCUUAGUUCUCUCUGCCAUCGUUUUUUUUUAAAAAAAAUCGUAUAGAAAGUGCCUCAAGGCACGAUCAUGUCGUCGAUAACAUCACUGCAAGAAGAGAUUAACACCCGCUGUAGGUAUGAAUAAUGAUAUUAGUUUGGCAAUUUUGAUAUUCUCUAGUUAAUAAUGAAUUGUUUCAAAAGGUGUAAAUGCCUGCUGGCUCACGUUAUUUAGAUUUUUUAUGUCACAUUAGAUUCGAUGCUACAUACUCCUGAGUUAAACGUCCAGGUGGAGGAAAUAACUCCGGCGUAUAGAAACUAUGGGUUUACAGAGAGAUCAGUUUCCGGUGGAGCUCAGUUUCCUUUGGAGCAUGAUUCCUGAAAGCAAUGUGCAGAAAUUAAAGUUUNNN